GGAGUUUGGGCCGUGUCUCAGUCCCAAUGUGGCCGUACACCCUCUCAGGCCGGCUACUGAUCGUCGGCUUGGUGGGCCGUUACCCCACCAACUACCUAAUCAGAAGCGUGCUCACCCAUAGUCCUUGCGUUUCAAAUCAAAGUCAUGCGGCUUCGAUUCACAUGGAGUAUUAAUUCAGCUUUCGCUGGGCUAUCCCCCGACUAUGGACAGAUUGCACACCUGUUACGCACCCGUGCGCCGGUCGCCACCAAAGAAAGCAAGCUUCCUUCGUGCUGCCCCUCGACUUGCAUGUGUUAGGCCUGUCGCUAGCGUUCAUC
rnacentral:rRNA from 1 species